CCCUAGUUCAAAUUAGAGUUUAAAACCUGGUGGUAACCUGUGAUUUAAACCUCUGUAGUGAUUUAAUUUGACAAAAAUGAAAACCUCAGCAGGCCCUUAUUUAAAAGCCAUUUCUGUGUUUACAAAAGUACCUAUUGGCAAAGGAAAACUUUUCAUCAAAGACCCUCCUUAUAAAAGUGAUUAUUUUUGCACAUUUUUUACCUCAUUUCUUAUUGAAGGCUGCCUGUGUAACUGCACUUUCUCAAAAAGUUUUAUUUUGGCCAGUCGAUUGGAGAAUAAGGAUUUUGGAUUCCUAGUAUCAUGCCACGUCGCAAGAACACGAAUCACAAGGGUCGCAAUCGCCAGUUCACGCCAGUGGAUGAACUGAAACUGGAGCGGAACGGGAUAAGCCAGGACGAAGUGGACCCGGGCCAGGAACAAUCGAAAAGUCAGUGGAAGAUGAAUUGGAACCUGGAUUCUGGGCACGCUUUCGAUCGUAGCCGUGGUGUCCACAGCCUGAUUGAGGUCUCCAAUCCGAAUCGUUUGCCACGUGAGAAGCCAUUGAGCCUUCUCACAGCCAUGACAACUCGGGAUCAACAUUCCCAGCUGGAUGAAGCCAUCCAACGGGGGCGACGUGAGAGGAAGCGGGAGAGGAUUGAAAGCGAAAAUAUGCAGAGGAGCAGGGAUGCGAAGGCGGAUUUGGCCAGAUUGGCAUUGGUUCGCCAGGAACGGGAGGCGGCUGCCGAGCGUCGGUUGGCCGCCAAAAAAGAAGCCGCAAAAACUGCCGCCUCCAGUUCUGAAAGUUGUCUCAAGAAGAUCAACCCCAAGCCACCGCUCGUGGUUGUGGACUCACCACGGAAGGUCCUGGAACUAAACAGCCCCUCGGGCUAUCAAGCCAACGACCGCUCUGGAAGCAAAAUUUGAAAAAAAAAAAAAAAAAAACGGUAGAACAUGUAUAUUUAGAACGACCAGAAAUAACUCGACAAAACGUCCUAAUUAAAAAACCAAUUAUUAAUUGGGCUUUAACUAAAGAACAACUUAGAAAUGAUUUGAAAACAACCCUAAUUAAAAGUUCAGCAGGAAAAUGAAACGAAAUCUAGAAGCCAAAGCGGUUGUUGAAAAAUUCCAAACAUCAAAUCACAGGCGACCAGCAAAACGUCGUUUUAAAUGUCAUUUCUCAAAAGAAAUAUCAAAAUAUUUACUAAUAAAAAAGCCAAAAGUAAAAGAGCUUCAUCGAUUUAUUUCUUAAUUUAUUCGUGUUGCACAUUUUUCCCACAAGAAAAUAAAGAUUACUUUGUUGAUCACAGCUUUCCGUAAAAAAGCCAAAGUGAAGAAAGUUAACUAGCGCUAAUUAGCGGCAUUGCGUACGCGUUUUUUGCAACACUGCUACCGGCAUCAAGUUAAGAAAGAGCGGAGUUAAACUCAAAUUAACUAUAAUCCAGGAUACAAACGAGGAAAUCGGCAAAGGCAAGUGGUAAUCCGAGUCCAAAAAUAU